rnacentral:ncRNA from 1 species
GUGUUGUAUGAAAGGAGAGAAGGUUAGCACUCCCCUUGACAAGGAUGGAAGAGGCCCUCAGGCCUGCACAACACGCAUACGGUUAAGGCAUUGCCACCUACGUUUGUGCAUCUAACCAUCGUUUUUG